rnacentral:lncRNA from 1 species
AAGCUUGGUACAGGAACUUCGAAGGUUUCUCAAGCUGCAGGUCGUGGCUACCUGUGCUUCUUAGCACUGGCCUUGACUUGGCUACCACAGGCUUUUAUCUCAGUUUACCUGCCCUGGCUGAAACCCAAAGGAUCCUGUCCCCAGCUCCAUAAGAGCCAUCAGAGGUCCCCAGAGUCCCUGACUGCCCCCUAGAGUCACAGGCUGCUUGUUCUGUGCUCCACACAAGGUUCCCUCCCUCCCAACGCUGAUUUCCUGUGGGCCACAUUCCAGCACAUUGGAGGGCCAGAGCUCAGGGAACAGACCAGCAGCACCGCAAGUCUCCAAGGAAAGUUCCAGUAGUCUCCAGGGGCUGAAGGCAGGACUGGGGAAGCGGCUAGCCGGGCUGCAGAAAUCAAAUGCUCCCAGACUGCUGUCCAGCACGCAUCGCAUCUGCCUUCCUAACCAAGUUUCCUGGGCUCCGGCCACAGAUCCUGACAUCCUGCCCUCUGUGCUCUGGGAGGACCCAGGAAGGAUGCUUAGCCUUGGCUCCUUGUCUGCUGGUGGAGGGGACACACACCUUUUUCUGGACCACAGACCAAAAAGAAGACCUGAUGUCAUCCUGAGCACCCCUGCCAUGCAGAGUGUGUUCACAGACUGCCAAUGGGCUGGCUCCAGCCAGCAGAAGUGAACUGAGGUAGAGGUUCAGCCUGGCAGCUUCUCCCCAAAGCCAUGGAGAGAGAACCUUACCCACUCCACCCCCCAGCUACUUCCAGCAAGUCGUCCAGCCUGACCCAUCUAUUUCCCCUGUUGUCUCUCAGCUGGGUCCCCGAGACCCACCCUACCUCCAAUAAAGAACAUUGCAUACUGCG